AUUGAACGCUGGCGGCAGGCUUAACACAUGCAAGUCGGGCGGAGCGGCGGACGGGUGAGUAAUGUAUGGGGAUCUGCCUGAUGGAGGGGGAUAACUACUGGAAACGGUAGCUAAUACCGCAUACUAUAAGAUGAGCCCAGGUCGGAUUAGCUAGUUGGUGGGGUAAAGGCCCACCAAGGCGACGAUCCGUAACUGGUCUGAGAGGAUGAACAGUCACACUGGAACUGAGACACGGCCCAGACUCCUACGGGAGGCAGCAGUGGGGAAUAUUGGGCAAUGGGCGAAAGCCUGACCCAGCCAUGCCGCGUGUGUGAAGAAGGUCUUCGGGUUGUAAAGCACUUUAAGUUGGGAGGCGUUACCUACAGAAGAAGCACCGGCUAACUUCGUGCCAGCAGCCGCGGUAAUUC
rnacentral:rRNA from 1 species